rnacentral:rRNA from 1 species
AGUUUGAUCCUGGCUCAGAUUGAACGCUGGCGGCAGGCCUAACACAUGCAAGUCGAGCGGUAGCACAAGAGAGCUUGCUCUCUGGGUGACGAGCGGCGGACGGGUGAGUAAUGUCUGGGAAACUGCCUGAUGGAGGGGGAUAACUACUGGAAACGGUAGCUAAUACCGCAUAACGUCUACGGACCGAAGUGGGGGACCUUCGGGCCUCACGCCAUCAGAUGUGCCCAGAUGGGAUUAGCUAGUAGGUGGGGUAAUGGCUCACCUAGGCGACGAUCCCUAGCUGGUCUGAGAGGAUGACCAGCCACACUGGAACUGAGACACGGUCCAGACUCCUACGGGAGGCAGCAGUGGGGAAUAUUGCACAAUGGGCGCAAGCCUGAUGCAGCCAUGCCGCGUGUGUGAAGAAGGCCUUAGGGUUGUAAAGCACUUUCAGCGAGGAGGAAGGGUUCAGUGUUAAUAGCACUGUUCAUUGACGUUACUCGCAGAAGAAGCACCGGCUAACUCCGUGCCAGCAGCCGCGGUAAUACGGAGGGUGCAAGCGUUAAUCGGAAUUACUGGGCGUAAAGCGCACGCAGGCGGUUUGUUAAGUCAGAUGUGAAAUCCCCGCGCUUAACGUGGGAACUGCAUUUGAAACUGGCAAGCUAGAGUCUUGUA